rnacentral:rRNA from 1 species
UACGUAGGGGGCUAGCGUUGUCCGGAAUCAUUGGGCGUAAAGCGCGUGUAGGCGGUCCGGUAAGUCCGCUGUGAAAGUCGGGGGCUCAACCCUCGGAUGCCGGUGGAUACUGUCGGGCUUGAGUACGGAAGAGGCGAGUGGAAUUCCUGGUGUAGCGGUGGAAUGCGCAGAUAUCAGGAAGAACACCGACGGCGAAGGCAGCUCGCUGGGACGGUACUGACGCUGAGGCGCGAAAGCGUGGGGAGCGAACAGG